rnacentral:misc_RNA from 1 species
CCUUCCUCCUUCAGCAUGGCCACCUCUAAUUUGUGUGACCAUCAGGAUAAAAAGUUUGAUAUACGCGAGGCAACCGACGCCGGGCAUGACGCACCAUCGGCCCAGACCAGCAGCGAGCGAGGAGGAAGCGUCACCUGCACCGUUCUCUAUACUAACUCUUGUUUUGUGGCGUCAGCGGACGAAACAUCAUUCAAAAUGGUGAAGGAGCAGGAACACUCCGAGCCGGAGCAGAUGCGAAAGCUGUUCAUCGGUGGCCUUGAUUACCGCACCACCGACGACAGCCUGAAGGCAUACUUUGAGCAGUAUGGCGAGAUUGUUGAUGUUGUUGUGAUGAAGGACCCCAAGACCAAGAGGUCCCGGGGCUUUGGCUUCGUUGCCUUCUCUCAGGCAUACAUGGUAGAUGAGGCACAGAAGAACAGGCCACACAAGAUUGACGGUCGCUCUGUUGACACAAAGCGUGCAGUUCCCCGUGACGAAAUUGGGAAGCCAGAAUCUGGUGUAACAGUAAAGAAGUUGUUUGUUGGUGGUAUCAAGGAUGAUGUAGAUGAAGAUGACUUGCGUGACACAUUCAGUCAGUUUGGUGAAGUAGUGUCUGUCAGCAUUCCUACAGAGAAAGAAUCUCAAAAGAAGAGAGGAUUUGCCUUUGUGGAGUUUGAGGAUUAUGAUGCCGUUGAUAAGGCUUGCUGUGAGUGCCUACACAAGAACAUCCAAUUAAAAGGAAAACGGGUAGAUGUGAAAAAGGCUCUGAGUAAGAAUGAGAUUCAGAUGCAGCAGCGCGGUCGCAUGGGUGGAAUGGGCGGCAUGGGACGUGGCGGAGGAAAUGGUCCAUGGGCCGGCAACAGGAAUAAUGAUUGGGGGAACAAUCAAGGUGGUGGUGGUUGGCAAGGUACUGUAUCAUCAGAUAACCGAAGCGGCUGGGGGAAUCAGGGCAACUACGGCACACCCAACCAGGGAGGGCCAGGUGGCUACAACCAGGGUGGAUAUGGUAACCAAGGGCCGUGGCAGGGUGGACCACCAAACAACCAGGGAUGGAACAACCAGAGUAACCAAGGCUGGAAUCCUCAGGCCAGCAACUAUGGUGGCACACCAAACAAUUGGGGCCAGGGCCCCAGUGACUUUGGUAACAACUAUGGUCAAAGCUAUGGAGGUGGACCUAUGAGGAAUCAAGGAUAUGGUCAGACAAACCGAUCAACCCCGUACAGUGCUGCUGGAGGCAACACGAGCUACGACGGGGAGCAGAGCAACAAGUGACAACGACAGCAGGAACGUGGAGUGGGGGAGCGCCAGUCACAAGGGGAAGCCCUGAGCGACUACAAUAAUGCAGGUAACAGUGGCGGUCCCAACAACUAUGGCGGCGGAAGUGGUGGUGGCGGAGGUGGUGGUGGCGCCGUUAGCAUGAACCAAGGGCCCAACAGACGAUAUUAAGACUGGUGGAUUUUUGGUCUGCUGUCGCCACAACAAGACACCAAAGAUGAUAGGCACAGUGCUAGUCACUGCUGCCAUACAACAACCUGUGAUAAUUUUUUAGCAAAAUAUUUUUCUACGUUAAUUAUAUUUAAAUUUAUUAA